rnacentral:rRNA from 1 species
UACAUGGGGUGCAAACGUUGCUCGGAAUCAUUGGGCGUAAAGCGCGCGUAGGCGGUUGCUUAAGUCGGAUGUGAAAGCCCUCGGCUUAACUGAGGAAGUGCAUCCGAAACUGAGCAGCUAGAGUACGAAAGAGGGUCGCGGAAUUCCCGGUGUAGAGGUGAAAUUCGUAGAUAUCGUAAGGAAGACCAGUGGCGAAGGCGGGUCUCUGGACAGUUCCUGACGCUGAGGCACGAAGGCCAGGGGAGCAAACGGG